UACGUAGGCAGCGAGCGUUGUUCGGAGUUACUGGGCGUAAAGAGUGCGUAGGCGGUGGCCUAAGUUUGGUGUGAAAUCUCCCGGCUCAACUGGGAGGGUGCGCCGAAAACUGGGUUGCUGGAGUGUGGGAGAGGUAAGCGGAAUUCCUGGUGUAGCGGUGAAAUGCGUAGAUAUCAGGAGGAACACCUGUGGUGUAGACGGCUUACUGGACCAUAACUGACGCUGAGGCACGAAAGCGUGGGUAGCAAACAGG
rnacentral:rRNA from 1 species